GACCGGCAUGCACACAGGAAGAGCGCCCUGUGAAACUGGAGUUCUGCUGCCGCAAGCAAAGUGACCACUGGAAGCUGGUAGAGAGGGCUCCAACCAGCACAGACCCUGUCGCUGAUGGGAUCCAGGGGGAAGGAGGGAUCCAGACCGGCCACUGGCCAGCUUCAGCACCUGCAGCAGCCUCGCCAGUCAUCUGCCCUCUGUACCAGCCUGGAACAUUCUUGCCACAGUCUCCUUGUGGGCAGGCCCAAGAGGUGAACCCUGCUGCAGAACUGAUGGGUUUCCUGAGCUUCAGCAAGAUUGUGCCCUCUUCAGGUGACAGCAAAUGGAUUAAUUUGACAGAUAUUCAGGGAAAUCGUAUUAGCCUAACUCAAGAAGUACAAAGGGAGAUGAUUAUCAAGAAAUAGAUACAAUUCCAGGCAGAAAAGAUCCCAAAGAAGUCUUAAUAGCUGAAAUAUUGCUGACAAGGAAGUGCACAGACCAGCCUUGCGGAAUCCCACAUCCGGGGAAGCCGACUUUCCCCUGCAGACACCGCCGCCGGAGCAGAGUCUGAUGGAUCACAGGCCAGGAUGGGGAAUUGCAAACACCUCAAGCACCCGUGGAAAUACUGGGUCACCAACAAGCCACCUCCCGAAUUCCCCUCCUUCUGGGGUAUCAAACUCCAAGCCUGGGCGACCUGGUAAAGAACAGACCAACCUGGAGAGCACAGGUGCCCCCAAAUGGGCAGGGAGUGGCAGCCAAGUGUGUAGGGUGCUCUCAGUGGGGCCACAUCUUCCCUUUUCAAGAGAAUGUAGAAGGCCGGGUGCGGUGGCUCACGCCUGUAAUCCCUGCACUUUGGGAGGCUGAGGUGGCAGAUCACCUGAGGUCAGGAGUUCGAGACCAGGCUGGCCAACAUGGUGAAACCCCAUCUCUACUAAAAAUACAAAAAAUUAGCCAGGCAUGGUGGCACAUGCCUGUAAUCCCACCUACUUGGGAGGCUGAGGCGGGAGAAUCGCUUGAACCUGGGAGGCGGAGGUUGCAGUGAGCUGAGAUCACACCAUUGACUGUACUCCAGCCUGGGUGACAAGAGCAAAACUCCAUCAAAAUAAAUAAAUAUAUAAAUAAAUAAAUAAAUAAAUAAUAAAAAAAAUUUAAAAAGAGAGAGAAAGAAUGUAGAAAUUUGCAGUUUUAUAUGAAAAUUCUCUAUGUUUAGAUUUUGGCAACCAAUUCAAAACAUUAAAAAAUAAAUAAAUACAGAAGGCCAAGGAAACAAGGCUGCAAGUUGGACUCAGCCUUUGAGCAUCAAUUUCUAGCCUCUCUAUCACCUCGUGGCUAAAGGCGCUAUUUCUUCCUUGAGAUUUGAGGCUGUGCCUGCAGUGUUUUGAGGAGACUGAGAACAGAGAAUGGCAUGGUUAGCCUGGUUCUAGAUAGCUCUACUCUCUGAUAGAGAAGAUUAUGACUGGAGGUUUGAUGCUGGCCGUAAAUAAGCUAGGGGCUCUUUUCUUGGAGCAGACUAAGGCUCUUGCAUAGCCCCGUGAUGUGGAGCUUUCUUCUAUAUCAAUAAACCAAAUGGAUACCAAACACAGCUGACAUUAAUAGGUGCCUCAGCCAGGGUCUCCACCAGAAUACUCAAAUGAGGAUAAUUGGAGAGAAUCAGGUUUUUCCUCUUUUUUCUUAAUGCAUAAUAUUUGUACAUAUUUGUGGGGUGUGUGUAAUAUUUUAUUAUGUGCAUAGAAUGUGUAUGCUCAAGUCAGGGUAUUUAGGGAGGCAUGACAAAGAUAUGGGUGCGGGGCGACCCCAGGAGCCAAGCAGGAACUCAGAGCUGCUGUCAGCCUGGCUGAGACCUCCUGUCAGUCCAAAGGGACCGGGGCUUAAUUGCAAGGAAAGGGUCUUAAAGCCAGGCCACAUUUAUAGGAGCUGUAGCCUUCUGCCAAGAGAUACAGCUGACCCAAGAAGACUUUGAUGGUAGAGAGCCAGGGAAUAUUCCUGGACUUCACUCUCUUCUCUCUUGCCAGUCUCCUGCGGGGCUUUCCAUGACCAAACCCAGCAGGGAGCCAGGGGCCAUGGGUGCCCACUGGUGUUGUCCAGACCAACCUCGGCGGGCAGAGUUGAGAAGUGUGGAGCCUGGGUCUGCAGGGGCUAGCAGCAGAUACCCAGCUCGGAAGAUAUUAGUGUAAGUCAGUAUUUUAGAAACAAACCAACAUUGUUCAACUCUAGGUGGAGGCAGCUGCCCAGAGUCUGCUGCCUGAUGAAGGCUCAGAGCUCGAAGCUUGAAGCUGCUUUCUUUUCGUAGAAAGGGAGAUUACCAAGCACUGACGUAGUGUUCAAGACACACGUGUUUCAGAGGGACACUCUCUCAAAGUACGCAGCCAAAGACUCAAAAGAAAUGACAGGUAAUAACACCCUCAUCGCCUGACUCAAAUCACAUCUGAGUGUUACCCGCGUCUUUCCACCUCUCCCUGGAUUGGGGAAAGGUGGGAAUAAGUGAUCUCAAGUCCCCAUCUGACUCUGGGAUACUCACCAUGCCUGUGGCUGUGACUCACCACAGCUUCGUAUGGAUAAAGUAACAAUUUUCUGCACUCAGCUUCUUGUUAUUCCACAAACGAGAAUGUUUUGUUUCAGAAGAAUGAGAGCUUAUUCUGGGCUUGAGCUAUAAGAUGCCGAAUAUGUAUUAAUGCUCUUUCAGAGAUCCUAUUUGAGAAAAAUAAGCUUUUAUUCUCCAAAUGUUUAUUGGUCUCUUUGUCUGCAUAGCUCUUCAGGCUAAAAUGAAUAUAAUCCAUAUGUAGCAUUAGACAUUUUACCUUACCUUAAUACAGCAAUCAUGAAUACAUAUUAGCUGUACAGAAGGAAGCCUACAUGUAUUACAGUUGAUGGAAUGUACUAUAAAUUGGCUUUUGUUUUACUUAUAAAUUUGUUAUAGAGAUAUUUAUUGGGCACA
ensembl:lncRNA novel transcript